rnacentral:rRNA from 1 species
AUUGAACGCUGGCGGCAGGCCUAACACAUGCAAGUCGAACGAGUGGCGGACGGGUGAGUAAGGUCUGGGAAACUGCCUGAUGGAGGGGGAUCACUACUGGAAACGGUAGCUAAUACCGCAUACCAUCAGAUGUGCCCGAAUGGGAUUAGCUAGGUGGUGGGGUAACGGCUGACCAAGGCGACUAUCCCUAGCUGGUCUGAGAGGAUGAACAGUCACACUGGAACUGAGACACGGUCCAGACUCCUACGGGAGGCAGCAGUGGGGAAUAUUGGACAAUGGGCGCAAGCCUGAUGCAGCCAUGCCGCGUGUAUGAAGAAGGCCUUCGGGUUGUAAAGUACUUUCAGCGGGGAGGCGUUACCCGCAGAAGAAGCACCGGCUAACUCCGUGCCAGCAGCCGCGGUAAUUC